GAUGAAGAACGUAGCGAAAUGCGAUAAGUAGUGUGAAUUGCAGAAUUCAGUGAAUCAUCGAAUCUUUGAACGCACAUUGCGCCCCUUUGUAUUCCAUGGGGCAUGCCUGUUCGAGCGUCAUUUGUACCCUCAAGCUUUGCUUGGUGUUGGGCGUCUUGUCUUGUAUUAGACUCGCCUUAAAGUCAUUGGCAGCCAGUGUUUUUGGUAGUAAGCGCAGCACAUUUUGCGUCUUAGUCCUUGAAUCGUGGCAUCCAUGAAGCCUUUUUUCACUUUUGACCUCGGAUCAGGUAGGGAUACCCGCUGAACUUAAGCAUAUCAAUAAGCGGAGGA
rnacentral:misc_RNA from 1 species